rnacentral:rRNA from 1 species
CCUACGGGAGGCUGCAGUGAGGAAUAUUGGUCAAUGGACGAGAGUCUGAACCAGCCAAGUAGCGUGCAGGAUGACUGCCCUAUGGGUUGUAAACUUCUUUUAUAUGGGAAUAACAUGUUCCACGUGUGGGAUUUUGUAUGUACCAUAUGAAUAAGGAUCGGCUAACUCCGUGCCAGCAGCCGCGGUAAUACGGAGGAUCCGAGCGUUAUCCGGAUUUAUUGGGUUUAAGGGGAGCGUAGGUGGAUUGUUAAGUCAGUUGUGAAAGUUUGCGGCUCAACCGGAAAAUUGCAGUUGAAACUGGCAGUCUUGAGUACAGUAGAGGUGGGCGGAAUUCGUGGUGUAGCGGUGAAAUGCUUAGAUAUCACGAAGAACUCCGAUUGCGAAGGCAGUUCACUGGACUGCAACUGACACUGAGGCUCGAAAGUGUGGGUAUCAAACAGGAUUAGAUACCCUGGUAGUC